AGCCCGCUCUUUUAUUAUAUUUAAAUCCAGUAAUACGAUAAUUAUUAUUUAAUCUUUCAGUAAAUCAAGCCCAGUAAUUAUUUAUGAUUUAAAUUCAGCUUAUGACACUGGAUUAUAUUCUAAUUGAAGCAGGGUUAUUAUUUUUUUUUCACUAAGCCAGUUAGCUUCGCGUGAGUAAAACCGCGAUGAGAAUUAUUUAGUAAACCAAUAAUUAUUCAUUUCAGAUUCAUAACUGACUUAGCUAAGUCAUGUUAUUUAUUAAUCACAAUAGAAUUAUUUUUCUAUUUUUAUUAUUAUUUCUUGAGUCGUGAAUUUAUUCCGGCUUGUGAAAAAUUAAAUCUACGUUAUUAAUUUAGAUAUUAUUCCGUGUAUUAAAUCUAGCACGCCAUGCUCCCUCAGCCACUCUAUUUAUAUAUGCUCACUCGUGCUUAGCUUUUCUUUUUCUUCUCCUACAUAGUCAAAAAAGGAAUUCAGCAAACAAAUCUCAAGAAUGUCAACAGCAAAUCUCAUCUUUAAUUCUUCAACCACGCUCAACAAUCUAGCCGUACUAUUCAUCAUCUGUUCACACUAAUCAGCUCUCCAUAAGUUCAGUAUAAAGCACAGCAAAUCUACUCCUUCCAUCAAGAAAUCACCAAGCAUAACCUUCUCAUACCCAUUCCACACUUAAACGUCUUCAUCAUUCUCUGCCAAAGUAAUUUUCAAGUAUCAAUUUAAUUCAAUAUUCAGCAAUCCAAUCAAGCAUCAUUCAAGGUCAAGCACCAGAGUUAGAGCUAAACCGUGAGUCUGCUAUUCAGGUGGGCAAUUUCUUACGCGUUGAGCUGUGAUGAACGAUGAAGUGUUGCUGAGUGGAGCUUUUGUCGAACUUAGAAUAGGCUCAGAAAGGAUAUGUGUCUGCAUACAUGUAUCUCAGUCUUGCCUUCCGCUGCAAACACUGAUUAUGUUUUAGUCAAGUCUAUAAUUAUGUCAAUUACUCUUCAAGAAAUAUUUAACGCUUACUCGGGUUCAUCGAGUAUCCUUUUUAACUAUA